rnacentral:rRNA from 1 species
CGCGUAUACAAUCUACCUUUUGCUGAGGGAUAGCCCAGAGAAAUUUGGAUUAAUACCUCAUAGUAUCAUAAUUAGGCAUCUAAUAAUGAUUAAAGGUUACGGCAAAAGAUGAGUAUGCGUUCUAUUAGCUAGAUGGUGUGGUAACGGCAUACCAUGGCGACGAUAGAUAGGGGCCCUGAGAGGGGGAUCCCCCACACUGGUACUGAGACACGGACCAGACUCCUACGGGAGGCAGCAGUGAGGAAUAUUGCACAAUGGGCGCAAGCCUGAUGCAGCCAUGCCGCGUGUGUGAAGAAGGCC